AUUGAGCGCUGGCGGCAGGCCUAACACAUGCAAGUCGAACGGUAACAGGAAGCAGCUUGCUGCUUUGCUGACGAGUGGCGGACGGGUGAGUAAUGUCUGGGAAACUGCCUGAUGGAGGGGGAUAACUACUGGAAACGGUAGCUAAUACCGCAUAACGUCGCAAGACCAAAGAGGGGGACCUUCGGGCCUCUUGCCAUCGGAUGUGCCCAGAUGGGAUUAGCUAGUAGGUGGGGUAACGGCUCACCUAGGCGACGAUCCCUAGCUGGUCUGAGAGGAUGACCAGCCACACUGGAACUGCGACACGGUCCAGACUCCUACGGGAGGCAGCAGUGGGGAAUAUUGCACAAUGGGCGCAAGCCUGAUGCAGCCAUGCCGCGUGUAUGAAGAAGGCCUUCGGGUUGUAAAGUACUUUCAGCGGGGAGGAAGGCGGUAAGGUUAAUAACCUUGUCGAUUGACGUUACCCGCAGAAGAAGCACC
rnacentral:rRNA from 1 species